rnacentral:rRNA from 1 species
GACGAACGCUGGCGGCGUGCUUAACACAUGCAAGUCGAACGGAAAGGCCCUUCGGGGUGCUCGAGUGGCGAACGGGUGAGUAACACGUGGGUGAUCUGCCCUGCACUUUGGGAUAAGCCUGGGAAACUGGGUCUAAUACCGAAUACACCCUGCUGGUCGCAUGGCCUGGUGGGGGAAAGCUUUUGCGGUGUGGGAUGGGCCCGCGGCCUAUCAGCUUGUUGGUGGGGUUAUGGCCUACCAAGGCGACGACGGGUAGCCGGCCUGAGAGGGUGACCGGCCACACUGGGACUGAGAUACGGCCCAGACUCCUACGGGAGGCAGCAGUGGGGAAUAUUGCACAAUGGGCGCAAGCCUGAUGCAGCGACGCCGCGUGAGGGAUGACGGCCUUCGGGUUGUAAACUUCUUUCAGUAGGGACGAAGCGCAAGUGACGGUACCUAUAGAAGAAGGACCGGCCAACUACGUGCCAGCAGCCGCGGUAAUACGUAGGGUCCGAGCGUUGUCCGGAAUUACUGGGCGUAAAGAGCUCGUAGUGGUUUGUCGCGUUGUUCGUGAAAACUCACAGCUCAACUGUGGGCGUGCGGGCGAUACGGGCAGACUGGAGUACUGCAGGGGAGACUGGAAUUCCUGGUGUAGCGGUGGAAUGCGCAGAUAUCAGGAGGAACACCGGUGGCGAAGGCGGGUCUCUGGGCAGUAACUGACGCUGAGGAGCGAAAGCGUGGGGAGCGAACAGGAUUAGAUACCCUGGUAGUCCACGCCGUAAACGGUGGGUACUAGGUGUGGGUUUCCUUCCUUGGGAUCCGUGCCGUAGCUAACGCAUUAAGUACCCCGCCUGGGGAGUACGGCCGCAAGGCUAAAACUCAAAGAAAUUGACGGGGGCCCGCACAAGCGGCGGAGCAUGUGGAUUAAUUCGAUGCAACGCGAAGAACCUUACCUGGGUUUGACAUGCACAGGACGCUGGUAGAGAUAUCAGUUCCCUUGUGGCCUGUGUGCAGGUGGUGCAUGGCUGUCGUCAGCUCGUGUCGUGAGAUGUUGGGUUAAGUCCCGCAACGAGCGCAACCCUUAUCUUAUGUUGCCAGCACGUUAUGGUGGGGACUCGUGAGAGACUGCCGGGGUCGACUCGGAGGAAGGUGGGGGUGACGUCAAGUCAUCAUGCCCCUUAUGUCCAGGGCUUCACACAUGCUACAAUGGCCGGUACAAAGGGCUGCGAUGCCGUGAGGUGGAGCGAAUCCUUUCAAAGCCGGUCUCAGUUCGGAUCGGGGUCUGCAACUCGACCCCGUGAAGUCGGAGUCGCUAGUAACCGCAGAUCAGCAACGCUGCGGUGAGUACGUUCCCGGGCCU